rnacentral:lncRNA from 1 species
UACAAACUAAAUGGCAUUUGAGCCAUAUUAAUCAACAACCUAACUACUACAAAAUAUUUGUGGUUGAAUUCUUUAUAAGAAUGAUAUCUACACAUUAACUAAAAACAUCUACUAAACUGUUCUCUAGAAAAAGACUAAACAGAUUAAAAAAUUACAAUAAUCAAUUUAACAUUGAGUCGCACUCCUAAUCAGACUACAUGAAUGCCUAACACAGCACAACAGAUUCCUCCUUCUUAGCUACUCUACCACAUGAUCCUGCACUUCAACAUUCUGAAGCAAAAAAUCACAAGGAUAAUCAUAAACAGCAUAAGAAUAAAUAGCCAAUAUACCCCACAAUGUAAAUUUGUCUCUCGACUCCAUUGCAAAGGAUCAGCCCCACAAUGUAAGGUAUGCAUAAGACCAUGACAACCAUUAAGAACGUCAUUUUUAACGAUCCAAAUUCUAUUCCUUCAAUAGAAAAAUAGACACACAAAGAAUUUCAGUUUCAUACAAAAUCAAUAGACAAGAAGCACAAAAUUUCCUCCAUAUGUCACAAUGUCAAAUACCAAAAGCAAUUCAACUCAAAUAUCUGAGGUACAAACUCAAACAAAAUUCAAAACUGCAUUGAAAAUUGGAUUCUUAUCAACAAGAACUUAUUUUAUUGAAAAUCUGGUUUUUUUCUCAAGGAUGAAGUUCAAACAUACUCAAAACAUUGACCGUGAUUUUAGAAAAAAUUUCAUUAUUUAUAGCCAUAUGAAAACACAACCAUUAACCUUUGACAGUUAACCUUCUUUGAAUCUAGGGAAAAAUUGCAUUUUUGUUGGCAAUAUAUAUAUUCUAUCAGUUUCCACAAGAUCAACCAAAUUAAACUAAAAUUCAUGAGAAAACAGAAGAUUUGAGGCUGUCAGCAAGUGCAACUUCACUAGUAAUAAUCGCAACACACCAAACAUCUAAAACAAAGCAAAAAAAUAGACAUUAGGAAUGACUCAGCAUGCAGCCAACACAAAACUAACUGUAAUUUCUCUCUUGCGAUCAGUCCAUUAUAUAUAAAAAGAACAAAAGUAAGUCAAACUUUUUGGCAUUCCAUUUGGAAUGACUCAACAAGCAACCAAAACAAAGAAAACUGACUGUAAUUUUAAUCUUGCGAUUGGUCCAUAAUAUAUAAAAAAGAACAAAAGUCAUUAACUUUUUGGCAUUCCAUUCACAUUUCAUGGUGGAAACUAACCUCAGCAAUCAUGAGUAACUAUUCUCUGGCAGUUUGGCAGAGUGAUUGCCUGCAAAUAUACAUCAUAAGAGUAAUGAAUAUGAUGGGGAAAAAAUCUGUACACAAAUCAUAGCAUGUACUACAAUAUUUUCCACUCCCUAAUGAGACCAAUAGUUGUAUAUUGAUAUAAUACCCUCCUAUAACAGUUCUAUCAUGACGUUCAAGCUACAUUAUAGAAGAAAAAAUAGUAAAAAACAAAUAGAACAGGUGAUAGAGGGGCUCUAAUUACUCAAUUGCAAAUCUAUGUUAAUACAGGUGCUGCUUUGAUAUUGACCUAACAGAUGAUACUAACAUGUUCAUUGCAUCAGUCUUUGGUGACUUAUCAGGGAUUGCCCAAAUUCACUACACUUCAGGCAAGCAAAUCCCGUAACAUAAAAGGGCUACACUUCGCUGCAGCACAACCUCUGUUGAGCACAGAAGAAUAACCUACAUAAUCAACAGAAAGAUGAGUAUAACAAUUACUGAACUUUGUGGCACAAAACAAUCGCAGAAUAAGCCAAAAAAUAAACAAAACAAAAGAAAUGGCACAAAAAUUAGGAAAAGAAAACAAACACAAUUAAAGGAUGACUAAAACAGGUAGUUCUACAUCAUUUAUACCAAUUGUAAUCAUCAUUCAUCCCUUGAUGUACAUACCAUAAAGAAUUCAUUAGCUAUGAGCAAAGGAUUCAUUAGCUCAAAUGAAUGCUGCAUUUUGAGAAUGCACAAGAACAUACCUUGGAUUUGCAUAUUCUGGUAAGUAUUGCAACAGGAAACGAAGAGCAGUAUCUCUCUACAGCAACAAAAUCAUAACAUAUUUAUUAGGCAUAUUAUUUGAAAAGCCAAAAACUCAAGGAUGGGAAAAAAAGAGGAGUGCUUGGCCAAACAAGAGGAGGGUUUCUUUUUUCUAGGAGGAGAAAAACCUAUUAUGUUUACUUAUGAUCUCUUCAUUUCUAACUGCUAAAAAUACACCGAAACAGAAAAUGAGAAUACAAAAAAUCUGAAAUUAUCUAUAUAAAACAUCAAGACAGGGGAAUAGGAUUCAGCUAGACCCAAAAAUUAUGUAAAAAGUAGCUACCAUUUUGACAGUUAGGAUCUUGAAGUUUUAGUUCUUCCAGUGCUAAUAAAGAUGAUGGCAAAAUUAUGGAUGAGCUUUAAGGGAAGAUUAUUAAUUUCUUGUGCCAGGCAAAGAGAGAGGCUAACCAAGCAAUUGAGUUGCAUAGCUAUUCCACAUUAAAUGGGAAAGCCUAGGAAGAAGAGUUACAGCAACAUUUCCUCUUCCGCCACCCGGCAAACUCCCUCAGUCCUGCCCUCUCUAAUCUUGCUGUCAUGGUGUAGUACUUUUGAAAGUUUAUACUUGUAAUCAUCCUUCUAGGACCACUUAUCAAUUAAGUAUUUUAUGUUUAUUGAGUGCGAUUUUUACUAUAUGUUUGAAGCAAGAUGAAACCCUUGGCAACUCAAUUUCAGUUAACAUACUGAAGCACAUUACAUAUACUUUUGCACAGUACUAUACUGAAGCAAUGGGUAAGUUAUCAUCUAGGCUAUCUGAUCAAUGAGAUUAUCAUAGCCAACAGGUAUUAUGAAGGAACUUUAGUCAAAGAAAAGAAAAUGGAUGGUCAGCUUGUUCAUUCAAACCCAAACUUUUUCGGAUGAAAGAAACAAGAAAUGAAUAAAUGUAUAACUAUGAGCUGGACCUUACACAAAGGUAUAAUUAGGCUUUCUAACUCUGGGCAUCAAAAUCAAAGCUUCCUUGCCACCUGAACUCUAGGCAAAUCGAGCAUUUUAAAUCUGCAAUAUCAAAAUUUCAAAAAAUCAACUUUCAGUUUAUUCACCAUUAACAGGAAGAAAUACAAAGAGGAAAAAAAAACUAAUCAAAAAAAUACAUAAAAAUAGUAACAAAAAUCAAAGAACAUAAAAUUUUAAAAAAAUAUAUAUAACAAGAAGAAAUACA